rnacentral:lncRNA from 1 species
UAGGUUUAUCGUUGAUCAAAACAAGAUCACGUGAAAGUUGAGAUGAUCGGAUAAUUAAAGAAUGCCACGUGUAUUGAUGAUGAGCAGAAGGCUCUCAUCUAAUUUAAGUGUCUAUAAUGGUGAGUUUUGGAAAUAUUUCAAUUGUUUUAUGAUAAUUAUUUGAAAGCAUCAUGAUUUAUUUUUAAAAUAUCAAAGAAUUUCUAUUCUGACAUUAGAUAGUACAAGGUCAAUGUUCAGUAAGCAUGCUGAUUUGUGUACAGGUAAACCUUGAUCAUUUGUCACAUUUAAACACACACAUGAAAUUUGUUUACAUUGCCUAAGAGUCAUUCUACAUGAUAUAUAUGUGUAAUGAUAUUAAAUAAAAAUACAUUUUAUGAUUUAUAAUAUAAACAUAGUUAUUAUAUAUUUUUAUAAACAUCACACAAAAACCUACUUGUUUUUUUAUCAAGUGUUUUCAUACUAUCAAAGUAUUGUUGAAAUUCUAACUUAAAAAUUCUGUAAACAUCAACAUUUUUUUGUUUAUACUCUGAUGCAUAUGUAGAUUUAUGAAUAGAGAACAUUAAUACAGUCAGAAACAGAUUGAUGUCAUAGUAGUUUAUAUCAUAUAUUUUAUACCCAAGUAUUAGAUUUUUGAAAGAGAUUAUAUGUGUCCCCAUUUUUAUUUUGUCAAGCAGUAAUUUGACUUUUUUCCAAAAAGUUUGAAAGUAUUGGCAUGUGAUGAAUUUUCUAAUUGGUUGCAAAUAUGGCAUUGGUCAUCACUUUUCAGUUGCCAGAUGUGCAAUAGCUGUUUACAAGGAAGGAUAUAGUGAAGUAGUUUUCCACCUGAAUAUUUUUAACUUGUUAACUUGUAAGCUGUAAAAUAUAAAGUUAAGCAUUUUGUACAAGUAGCUUGACGAUUCUAAUUUAAAUUGUGUUUUCCAUUUUUAGAAAUCCAAUUGGUGUUUUUUUCCUCUAUAUUACAUGAAUUAAUGCUUUUAUAUAUUUCUUUUGAUGGAAGGUUUUCAAUGCAGAUCAAUUUUUGUGUUGUUUUGUGUUUUUAAGUAUAGUUUUUUAUUUGUUUUAACUUGAGUACAGCAUGAUUUAUCUGAUUUCAUUUCCAUUUGCCACUUUUUUGGUAUUGCGUUUUUUAUUCUUGAUAGUUCUGAUAUCCAAUUUGAUUUAAUUGUUAGUUUAUCUAAUACAAUCUUUUGUGAAAUGUUUCCUUCUUUGUCGAUUAUAUCAUUAAUAAAUAGUAUUCCAUUUGUUAUCCAAUUUGAAAAUAUUAAGCAUUUGUUUUGAAAUUUUAUAUGCUUAUUGCCCCAAAUAUAUUGUUGUCUUAUGUUAAUAAAAGUUGUAUUGUUUUUGUUUGAGAUAUUUUUUAUUUUAAACCAACUUUUAAUUAUUUCUAAAUAAAAAAGAGGGAGUGUUUUACUAAGGUUUGGGAUUGCUUUUAUGCUACCUGGAUUCAUGUUGAAUAAAGAGAAGUUUUCUCCAAAUAUAUUAAAAAAGAAAAGGGGAAUAACUUUCCAGUUCGCAAAGUGUGUUGAUGUUAAACGUUUGACCCAGGAUAAUUGUAUAGCUGAUAGAAAAUUGUCAAUAUUAAUCAUUUUUUAGGCCUCCUUCCAAAUAAUCUUUACAUAAAGUUAUCCGUUUAACUUUUUCUUUUUUAUUUCCCCAAAUGAAGUUGUAAAUUAGUGUUUUGAAUUCAUUCAGAAAGUUUUUGGAUAUAGUUGUCACUGAUGCCAAGAAAGUUAAAUUUGGUAGGAUAAGAGAUUUAAUUACUGUUAUUUUACCUAUCAUUGUAAGAUUUCUUCUGUUCCAGCUAUUGAUUGCAUCUUGAGACUUUCUUAAAAUUCUUUCUGUAUUUAAUCUGUCGCAUUCAUCUUUGUUAAGUCCAAAAUAUACCCCUAGACUUUUAAUAGGUUCUUUAUUCCAGUUUAUAUUUUCAUAUUUAUCUUUGCAGCUUUUCAAUUGGCCUAACCAUAUGCCCUCUGUUUUAGAUCGGUUAAGUUUAAGACCUGAGAGUGUUCCAAAUAUUUCAAUCAAGUUUAAAGCAUAGCUUAUUUCCUGCUUACAUUUUAAAAAGAGAGUAGUAUCAUCUGCUAGUUGUGAAAUUUUCAGACUAUGUGUUUUGGAGUCUAAUUUAAUUUGAAAUCCCUUAAUACCAGUAUCUUGUCUUAUUCUACAUGCAUGCGAGAAUUUCUACUGCUAUUGUGAAAAUUAGAGAACUGCAUGGACACCCUUGUCGUAUCCCACGAUAUACAUUGUAGGUUUCUGAAAUCCAACCAUUAUUUAGCAUACAGCCUUUAAUAUUUUUUAUAUAAUGUUUUAACCCAUUUAAUGAAUGAGUUUGGGAGACCAAAUUUUGUUAGGGCUUCAUACAUAAAGUCCCAUUCUAAUGAAUCAAAAGCUUUUGAAAAAUCAAUAAAAAGUAAUGCACCAUCAAUUUGAAAGGUUUCAGCAUAAUCAAUAAUGUCUUGGAUUUGGCGUAUAUUAAAACCAAUAUAUCUAUUUUUUGAUAUAACCAUUUUGAUCCCCAUGAAUUAUUUUUAACAGUAUUGGUUUUAAACGUUGAGCUAUUGCAUAUGCAAUGAGUUUAGUAUCUACAUUUAAUAGUGUAAUUGGUCUAUAGUUAUCCAGUGACAAAGGGUUCUUUUUUUUUGUAAAUUAAGGAUAUUAUACCUAUUUUUUGUAUGGUUGUUAGUUCUCCUUCUUCAUAGCAUUUGUUAAAAACUUCAACAGUAAAUUCUUUUAGAUUAUUCCAAAAAGUGCGAUAAAAUUCUACACUUAGCCCAUCUAUUCCUGGAGAUUUAUUUAAUUUCAUUUGAAAUAUUGCCUUAGUGCAUUCUUCUACUGUUAAAGGGCCCCCCAAGGAUUCACUUUCUAUUUCUGAUAGUUUGUGAUCAAUGUUGGUUUCAUUUAUGUAAUUUUUUAUAUCUUUUAAAUUUGGAGAAGUGCUUUUAUAUAGAUUUUCAUAGUAUGAUCUUUCUAUGUUUAGAAUUUCUGAGUGUUCUGUAACUAUUUUCCCAUCUUUAUUUUUAAGCGCUGUGAUACUUUUUUUGGUUUGUCUUGAUUUUUCAAGGCCCAGGAAGAAUUUAGUGUUUUUCUCUCCUUCUUCUAACCAUUGUACUCGGGAUCUUAUUUGUGCACCUUUAACUUUAUUUAAGUAGAGGUUUUUCAAGUUUUUCUUCCAUGGUUUUAAUUUCUUUUUCCAUAGUUGGGCUUACAUUUGUUUUUUCAUUUAAUUUUCUUAAUUUUGUUUCUAAAUUUUUUAUAUCAUUUUAUUUUCAGAUGAUCUUUGUUUGCAGUAAGUAAGAGUUGCGGUUCUUACCUCUGAUUUAAACAUAUCCCAAAGUGUUUUCAAAUUUUUGGUGAGUAUUUGUUUUUUAUAGUUUUCGAUUAAUUUAUUUAUGAGAUCAAUAUAUUUUUGCUCUUUAAGUAUACUAUUAUUUAUUUUAAAGAAUCCCCUGCCUCUUUCUUCCGAAUUUUGUCUUACUUGUAAAGAAAUGGCUUGGUGAUCAGUAUAUGAUAUCAUUGCAGGUCGAAUAUCUGCUUUCAUAACAUGCGGUCUUAUAUCAGGACUUAUUAGAAAGAAGUCAAUUCUACUGGCUAUUUUUGUAUCAUUUUUCC